rnacentral:rRNA from 3 species
GUUUGACCUCGGAUCAGGUAGGGAUACCCGCUGAACUUAAGCAUAUCAAUAAGCGGAGGAA